CCUACGGGUGGCAGCAGUGAGGAAUAUUGGUCAAUGGCCGCAGGGCUGAACCAGCCAAGUCGCGUGAGGGAUGACGGUCCUAUGGAUUGUAAACCUCUUUUGUCAGGGAGCAAAGGGCGCCACGUGUGGCGCUUUGCGAGUACCUGAAGAAAAAGCAUCGGCUAACUCCGUGCCAGCAGCCGCGGUAAUACGGAGGAUGCGAGCGUUCUCCGGAUUUCUUGGGUUUAAAGGGUGCGCAGGCGGAAUGUGAAGUCAGCGGUAAAAUUUCGGGGCUCAACCCCGUCGUGCCGUUGACACUGGCGUUCUUGAGUGAGCGAGAAGUAGGCGGAAUGCGUGGUGUAGCGGUGAAAUGCAUAGAUAUCACGCAAAACUCCGAUUGCGAAGGCAGCAGACCGGCGCUCAACUGACGCUCAUGCACGAAAGCGUGGGUAUCGAACAGGAUUAGAUACCCGAGUAGUC
rnacentral:rRNA from 1 species